rnacentral:rRNA from 1 species
GACGAACGCUGGCGGCGUGCUUAACACAUGCAAGUCGAACGGAAAGGCCCUGCUUUUGUGGGGUGCUCGAGUGGCGAACGGGUGAGUAACACGUGAGUAACCUGCCCUUGACUUUGGGAUAACUUCAGGGAACUGGGGCUAAUACCGGAUAGGAGCUCCUGCUGCAUGGUGGGGGUUGGAAAGUUUCGGCGGUUGGGGAUGGACUCGCGGCUUAUCAGCUUGUUGGUGGGGUAGUGGCUUACCAAGGCUUUGACGGGUAGCCGGCCUGAGAGGGUGACCGGGCACAUUGGGCCUGAGAUACGGCCCAGACUCCUACGGGAGGCAGCAGUGGGGAAUAUGGCACAAUGGGCGGAAGCCUGAUGCAGCAACGCCGCGUGCGGGAUGACGGCCUUCGGGUUGUAAACCGCUUUCGCCUGUGACGAAGCGUGAGUGACGGUAAUGGGUAAAGAAGCACCGGCUAACUACGUG